CCGGAUCCCUCCCACAUUAGACCUACCACACCCUCAGGGCAGACAACAGCUCCACACACCCCACACUCAGCCACCAGGGCAAGGGAGCAAAAUUCCAGAAAGCUCAGAGCGGACUGAUGUACUGGCCCUUAGUACAGCCUCCAGGAUAUUAUGUGUGCACCGGCGUGGGAUCCUGGAACUGGCAGGAAUUGUGGGUUGUGUUAGUCCCUAGACUCCCAUCGCCUAUAUGAAAUAUGGUUCCUUUUGUGGCUUGGGAGGCCAUGGCCAGCCCUGCGAUGCCAUUGACUGGUGCUGCCAUGGCCACGACUGUUGUUACACUCGAGCUGAGGAGGCCGGCUGCAGCCCCAAGACAGAGCGCUACUCCUGGCAGUGCGU
rnacentral:lncRNA from 1 species